ACUGUUGUCAAGCUUUAGUAUUUUCUUUGUGAAGUGAGAAAGAUUACAAAGAAACAGAGAUUCUUGUGGAACAAUACAGCUCUGCAGCAGAAGAUGGUGGAAAAUAAAAGACUGGCAUUUGCCCACUUUUCAACAGCCCUCAGGGUUGCACACCUGCCAUCAUUUCAACAUUUUCCCACACAAAAUCAACACAAUUUCCAUUGAAUGAUUUCAUUGGCCCAUAUCACCAGAUGAUGGUGAUAUAUCUGAGGAUGCUGUUUUGCGAUUUCAUUGAUGCAGAAGACUCCUUGGUGAGGAAACUUCUUUCACUGGUGGAAAUCAACUCAAUACUCAAAACCUGAAUGAAGGUGACCAUUCCCAAAGAAGGGACUGACCCUGAGGAAUUCUUCAAAGAGAGACUAGCAGAGAACUCAAGCUUUUGCCUCCUCACCACUCUGUUCUAACACUCUCACAGGAAAGGACCUUUAUUUCCAUCAGUAGGGAGAGAGUCCAAUGACCAUGGGCUUUGGGAUAGAGGCUAGAUGCUUAGAGCCCUGAGAGGUUCAGUGACUUGCCCAUAGCCACAGAGCCAGUAUAUAUCAGAGGUAAGAGUUGAAACUAGGUCUUUUUGGGUUAAUGACAAUAACUGACAUUUCUAUAGGGUUCGCUUUGAAGUUUGAAAAGGGUUCUUAUAACUGUGGAAAUGAAAAUGCAUUAGAAAAAUAUGUGAUUGAUCAUGUAGGGUGAUAGGGAUAUGAUUGGGGUUUUGCUGUUAAAAGAUCACUCUACUGCAUAUAUGAAUAACAUGGAAAUAGUUUUUGAACAAUGAUACAUGUAUAACCUAGUGGAAUUGCUUGUUGGUUUCGGGAGGGGGAAAGGAAGAGUGGGGGGGAUCAUGAAUCAUGUAACUAUGGAAAAUAUUC
rnacentral:lncRNA from 1 species